AGGAUAAACCAAUAGCACGAUUCGUAGACUACCACAAACGUGAAUUAGAAAAGAAGAGACAAGAAAAAGAAAGGCAAUUACUCAAUGAAAACAGAAUUGAUAACAUCAGAGAUCCAAUAUUCAAGAAAGAUAUGAAAAAGUUAUACAAGAAAUUUUCAACAAAUGGACUCACAUUAGAG
rnacentral:lncRNA from 1 species